GAUCCAGCCAUGCCGCGUGAGUGAUGAAGGCCCUAGGGUCGUAAAGCUCUUUCGCCUGUGAAGAUAAUGACUGUAGCAGGUAAAGAAACCCCGGCUAACUCCGUGCCAGCAGCCGCGGUAAUACGGAGGGGGUUAGCGUUGUUCGGAAUUACUGGGCGUAAAGCGCGCGUAGGCGGACUGGAAAGUUGGGGGUGAAAUCCCAGGGCUCAACCCUGGAACUGCCUCCAAAACUAUCAGUCUAGAGUUCGAGAGAGGUGAGUGGAAUUCCGAGUGUAGAGGUGAAAUUCGUAGAUAUUCGGAGGAACACCAGUGGCGAAGGCGGCUCACUGGCUCGAUACUGACGCUGAGGUGCGAAAGUGUGGGGAGCAAACAGGAUUAGAUACCCUGGUAGUCCACACCGUAAACGAUGAAUGCCAGUCGUCGGGUAGCAUGCUAUUCGGUGACACACCUAACGGAUUAAGCAUUCCGCCUGGGGAGUACGGUCGCAAGAUUAAAACUCAAA
rnacentral:rRNA from 1 species